UGGGGAAUAUUGGACAAUGGGCGAAAGCCUGAUCCAGCAAUGCCGCGUGGAUGAAGAAGGUUUUCGGAUUGUAAAGUCCUUUCGGCGGGGACGAUGAUGACGGUACCCGCAGAAGAAGCCCCGGCUAACUUCGUGCCAGCAGCCGCGGUAAUACGAAGGGGGCUAGCGUUGCUCGGAAUGACUGGGCGUAAAGGGCGCGUAGGCGGUAUGGACAGUCAGGUGUGAAAUUCCCGGGCUUAACCUGGGGACUGCAUUUGAUACGUUCAAACUAGAGUGUGGAAGAGGGUCGUGGAAUUCCCAGUGUAGAGGUGAAAUUCGUAGAUAUUGGGAAGAACACCGGUGGCGAAGGCGGCGACCUGGUCCAUUACUGACGCUGAGGCGCGAAAGCGUGGGGAGCAAACA
rnacentral:rRNA from 1 species